rnacentral:misc_RNA from 1 species
GAUGAAGAACGUAGCGAAAUGCGAUAAGUAAUGUGAAUUGCAGAAUUCAGUGAAUCAUCGAAUCUUUGAACGCACACUGCGCCCGCCAGUAUUCUGGCGGGCAUGCCUGUUCGAGCGUCAUUUCAACCCUCAGGCCCCCAGUGCCUGGUGUUGGGGAUCGGCCCAGCCUUCCUGUAAGGCCGCCGGCCCCGAAAUCUAGUGGCGGUCUCGCUGUAGUCCUCCUCUGCGUAGUAGCACAACCUCGCAGUUGGAACGCGGCGGUGGCCAUGCCGUUAAACACCCCACUUCUGAAAGUUGACCUCGGAUCAGGUAGGAAUACCCGCUGAACUUAAGCAUAUCAAUAAGCGGAGGA